GACUUUGUGGCCGAGCGGUCUAAGGCGCAACGUUAAGGCCGUUGUCUUAAUUGGCGGGGGUUCGAAUCCCCUCGAAGUCA
rfam:Fragilariopsis cylindrus CCMP1102 unplaced genomic scaffold FRACYscaffold_1, whole genome shotgun sequence.